UGUGCUGUGCUACACCUUCUAAUCCGGAGAAUGAAUUUUUCAACCUGGUAAUGAAAUUGUAUCCAAAGAGGACAGCUAUGAAUUCAUAAUCUCAAUGGAAGUGUUCCCGUCAUUUCAACAUCCAUACAAAAAUAACGUAUCGAGUGCGCGCAGUUGCACAGGAACGUCUGGGCUUUGACAGAGCUUUCAACCGAAGUACAGUAGCAAGUUAUUUUUGCCCUGACUCUGAACCGCGAGAUAGUUUGGCCAACUGCAAGCCUACCCAUCUCGCCCAUUCCCGGCCAGGGCUAACCACAGCACAGUGACAGGACUGUCUGUGGCGACUGCUGCCCAGAUGCCCGGUGGAGGAUGCCUUCACAACAGCUAGACAUGGAGGUGAUGACCCCUCUCAUUGAGAACCCUUGUGGAGGAGGGCAGGAGGAGGAGAACAACUCUGAAGAGAACCAAGAUCCAGAGCUGCUGCCUACAAGACGCUAUGAGCUCGGCAACAGCCAGGGCAUCACUUAACCUCUCUUGGGUUUACUCAGGCUCUCAUCCACCUGCUGAAGGGAAACGUUGGGAUUGGGUUGCUGGGUCUUCCCCUGGCAGUACGCAACGCAGGGGUCAUAGUGAGUAACUAAUGCCCCAUUAGUGAUAAUACAUUUUAGUCAUUUAGCAGACUCUCCAGAGUGACUUACAGGAGCAAUUAGUGUUAAGUGCCUUACUUCAAGGGCACAUCGACAGAUUUUUCAUCUAGUCGACUCGGGUAUUCGAACAAGCGACCUUUUGGUUACUGGUCCAACACUCUUAACCACCUGCAGCCUUACACCGUUCACACCAUAACACAAACAGGGCUGGGUCACACUUUACAUUACAUUAGUGUCCUUGUGUACUGCUUUAUGUACAUUGGUUUGGUUUAUUCAGUAGGAAAAAUACACACACUCUUGUUAGAGUCGAGGCAGAGUAAUGUUAUUGAGAGAACUUGUGCGUUGAUGUGUCAUCCCUACAGCAUUACAUUAUACAUCAUUGAUAUUGGUUGGUAAAAAUAAUUGGAAUUUCGCUAAUGAAAAAGUAAUGGGCUGGGCAUGAUUAUGGAUGACGCAUAAAUAUGUAUUCAUUAUCUGUGAUCUGAAUGUUUAUUGGAAGUGAUUACAUAAAACACCAAUGUACAAGAUCAUUCUUAUCAUUCCAUUGUUUGAUUUAACCAGCAGUUCAGUUUCUAGGUUUACUGGACCAGUGUGUACGAUGGGAGCAGAAAUUAGCACGUCUUGUACAGAUGAAUACACGCGUAGGAAUUAAGCUCCAAGUCUUCAGGUGUGUUAAUUCAGUGUUGUGGAAAAGUUAGGUGUCAGUGGACCUGCUAGAUUCCUCUGUCUACAGACAAUGAUUCCCUGCUGUGGAUCCUGGCUCAUGUUAAGUUGAUUUGGGGUUUUAUAUUUGGACCUCUGCGUCGUACAAGAGUCCAAAGGUCAUAAUAAGUCACUGGGCACAUAACCCUUAUCUCUGAGUUUUACAGAUGGAUGUGAGUGCGUAAUUAUAUGAUCAUGUACAUUGGUUUAAGGUACUGUGUGUGUGUGUGUCAUGGAAUUGGUGUGUUAUCAGAUUAUAUUUGAAUACGUAGAUUGCUGCAGCUUCUUCUCGGAACCAAGGCCUGGUUAAGCAGUUAGUGAGGUGUUCAUCGAACUAGUCCCCACCACAAGUGCUUCAGCACCAUGGUACAAACCUGCCUGUGUGCCUGCCUGCUUUGCAGCUGUGGCACUGGCUAGUGGUUGAGCUCAGAUCAGUUUAUAGCCUCACAUAUUUCCUGAUUUCUCCAUUUGCCAAAUGGACAAAAGGAGGAUAGGAUCAGGCUAGACAAGUGUCAUUAUUUGAAAGGACAAUCAGGUCAAUUUGUACACUUCAGACUAAUGUCGUCUCCCAGCCGGCUCUGUUGUAAUGGAGACUGAGAACGAGGUUAGCUUCAGACCAACAGCAGGCACACAUGAUCACUGUUACCCUACCAGUGAAACAGAUGUAGCCUGCAUGUCACAUGUAUCACGUUGCCAAGGUUACGUUGCGUUUGCUGGACUUUCCCCAGAGAAUCUGCAGGCUCCAUAGACUAGAUGGUGUUCCAGUGCUAGUAUUGUAUUGGUUGAGGAGAGAACCCAAAAUGUUGUGGUGUCCUCUUGCAUAAUCUCCCCUCCUUUGUGCUGUCUCAUGAUGAUGGUGUGAUCAUGUCACAUGAUGGAGAGAUUUUCUUUCUGGAUGACAGAACAGAACAAAAUAAUGAUCACAACACCGUUACGUGAUAUGAGGUUUUCGCGGACAUACAUAGAAUAGCAAAGAGCUAUCCCACUACUGAUCGUGUGUAAGUGAGCCUAUUUCUCUGGGUUAUAUCUGAUGCGUUUGCAUUAAUAUGGACUGAUGAGUGUUCCUAUCUGGUUCACAGUUGGUUUCAGUUGGUGUUGAC